AGCUCCAAUAGCGUAUAUUAAAGUUGUUGCAGUUAAAAAGCUCGUAGUUGGAUUUCGGGGUGGCCUGGCUGGUCCGUCGCGAGGCGAGCACUGGUCAGCCACCCUUCCUCUCGAAAGCCCCGACUGCUCUUCGUUGCAGUGGUCGGGUAGUUCGGGACGUUUACUUUGAAAAAAUUAGAGUGUUCAAGGCAGGCUCGCCAGCUUGAAUACAUGAGCAUGGAAUAAUGGAAUAGGACUACGGUCCCUAUUUCGUUGGUUUGACGGACCGAAGUAAUGAUUAAGAGGGACAAUUGGGGGCAUCCGUAUUUCGUAGUCAGAGGUGAAAUUCUUGGACCUACGAAAGACGAACAACUGCGAAAGCAUUUGCCAAGAGUGUUUUCAUUAAUCAAGAACGAAAGUA
rnacentral:rRNA from 1 species